AUACGGAGGUUGCGAGCGUUAAUCGGAAUUACUGGGCGUAAAGCGUACGUAGGCGGUUUGCUAAGUCAGAUGUGAAAGCCCCGGGCUUAACCUGGGAACUGCAUUUGAUACUGGCAGACUAGAGUAUGAUAGAGGGGGGUAGAAUUCCUGGUGUAGCGGUGAAAUGCGUAGAUAUCAGGAGGAAUACCAGUGGAGAAGGCGGCCACCUGGAUAAAUACUGACGCUGAGGUACGAAAGCGUGGGGAGCGAACAGGAUUAGAUACCCCAGUAGUCC
rnacentral:rRNA from 1 species